CGAUGUUCAAUCAGCUGAAAUAUAUAUAUCCAAGUUCACACGCAAUACAUACAUACACACAAAUCUCAUAUAUACAAUCCAGAGCACAAGUUCUUGAACCUUCAUUUCAAUAGUGGAAAAAGAAUAAGAGAGAGAGAGAGAGAAGAGAGAGAGAGAGCCAAAAGGGCUCGCUGGAAAUGUAUAUGGUAUUCAAGCCUUUGAUCAUCGGCGGAGAGAUUGUUGAGGAAGAAGGUGGUAAGUGGGAGAAAGAAAGAUAGAGAGCAACAGAAUCCAGUGGAUUUUCAAGAUUAUUCAUCAGUUGCCAAACACACAAAGAUUUGUUUGCAUUGGUAAUGGAAAUUGCACAACAAACAGCAGCAGCGGUGAUGAAGGGAAUUACUAAUGUCGCAUAUGCCAAAUGCGAGUGCUGCGGGCUGACGGAGGAGUGCACGGAGGAAUACAUAAAGCGUGUCCGCGACCGUUAUUGGGGGCGGUGGAUAUGCGGGCUGUGUGGGGAGGCGGUGAAGGAUGAGAUAGUGAGAUCGGAGAACAGGAUUGGAAAUGAGGAGGCCCUGAAUCAGCACAUGAGCUUUUGCAACAAGUUGAGGAGGCCGCCAAAGAAUCCUACUGAAGAACUGAUUUGUGCGGUGAAGCAGCUGGUUCUGAGGAGCUUGGAUUCGCCCCGCUCCAUGAGGACGCCCCGUCUGCUUCCAUCCCAAACCUCUCGACCUGCGCCUCAAAAUUAGUUAGUUGUUGGAGGAGUGUUUGUUUAAUGUUUAAUUUUUAAUUGGAAGCACAGAACACAUAUGUGUGUUUACUGUUUCAUGUGAUUGUGUGAUCCUGAUGCUGGUUUGGGUUAAGUGGGAGAAUGACUAAGAUGAAGGCAAUAAUAGUUUAGAUGAAGGAGAGUGGCAUCAGGAUAAGGAUACGUAGUAUACUAUAUUCCUUUGUAUUUAAUCAUUACAUGGGCACGUUCUAAGAGGAGCAGCAGUUUAAGCUUAAGACAUUGUUCAUGUACUACUCCCUACGUACAUUUGUAUUUUGUACGUACAGCGACAGCAAGGAUUUAAUUGUGUACUACAUUCAUCUUCUCACUAAUUCA